GAUGAACGCUGGCGGCGUGCCUAACACAUGCAAGUCGAGCGAUUCUCUUCGGAGAAGAGCGGCGGACGGGUGAGUAACGCGUGGGUAACCUGCCCUGUACACACGGAUAACAUACCGAAAGGUAUGCUAAUACGAGAUAAUAUGCUUUUAUCGCAUGAUAGAAGUAUCAAAGCUUUUGCGGUACAGGAUGGACCCGCGUCUGAUUAGCUAGUUGGUAAGGUAACGGCUUACCAAGGCGACGAUCAGUAGCCGACCUGAGAGGGUGAUCGGCCACACUGGGACUGAGACACGGCCCAGACUCCUACGGGAGGCAGCAGUAGGGAAUCUUCGGCAAUGGGCGAAAGCCUGACCGAGCAACGCCGCGUGAAUGAUGAAGGCCUCGGUUGUAAAUUACUGUUAUAAGGAAGAAUAGGCUCUAGUAGGAAAUAGGCUAGAGUGUGACGGUA
rnacentral:rRNA from 1 species